GACGAACGCUGGAGGCGUGCUUAACACAUGCAAGUCGAACGGAAAGGCCUGCUUUCCCUUGUGGAUUGCGGGUACUCGAGUGGCGAACGGGUGAGUAACACGUGAGUGAUCUGCCCCCAACUUGGGUAUAAGCCUGGGAAACUGGGUCUAAUUCCCGAUAGGACUGCAGGGUGGUGCCUGUGGUGGAAAACGAUUUUCUAGUGGUUGGGGAUGAGCUCGCGGCCUAUCAGCUUGUUGGUGGGGUAAUGGCCUACCAAGGCGGCGACGGGUAGCCGGCCUGGGAGGGUGGACGGCCACAUUGGGACUGAGAUACGGCCCAGACUCCUACGGGAGGCAGCAGUGGGGAAUAUUGCACAAUGGGCGGAAGCCUGAUGCAGCGACGCCGCGUGGGGGAUGACGGCCUUCGGGUUGUAAACUCCUUUCGACCGCGAGGAAGCCACCUGGUUGGAAGGGUGGUGACGGUAGUGGUAGAAGAAGCACCGGCUAACUACGUG
rnacentral:rRNA from 1 species